AACAAAACCAGGCCCAACAAGGCCCACUUAUUAUGGCCCAAUGAGGCCCACCAAACCAAACCCAGACCUCAUCAAGAUCCAAAAACAAAUUCUAGGCUUUGUAAAGUCCAUUAACAAACCUGCGCCCAACAGAGGUCCAUUAACACUUUAUGGGCUCCAUAAAGCGCAUCAAACAACCCAACCCAUUAGGGCCCAUGUCCAAACUGAGGCCCAUAAGGGAAAACCCUCUUUGCACUCACCAAUUGGCGAGGUAGAGGCCAGCCACACAACCUUCUCGGCAAUCAAGGGUGUCUGGCAAGGCCCAACAGCAUAGGCAAGCUGUGCGUUGCAAUGCACCCAGGGUAAGUUGUCCUCGCACUCGGGCAUGUCAGGGUAAGCCCUCAUGCACAGGGCUCAUC
rnacentral:lncRNA from 1 species